UCUGGCACUGGGGACAUAUGUGGCACUGGGAGCACAGCCCUAGCAACAAGGACUACCUCCUAGCAACGAGCAUGACACCCAGUGCAUGAAACACCUGACAACGAGCAUGACACCCAGUGCAUGAAACACCUGGCAACGAGCAUGACACCCAGUGCAUGAAACCCCUGACAACGAGAAGUUUCCAUGGUGAUGGGAGCACGCAAGCCGGUAUGCGCCAGAGACGGGACUUCGUGGUCCGCAGUUGAUGACGUAACCGGAUGUAGCUACACGGAGCUCCAUGAGCACCUGCACUUGUGGUGAUUUGAUUCUGUUAUUUAAGUUUCCAUGGUGAUGGGAGCACGCAAGCCGGUAUGCGCCAGAGACGGGACUUCGUGGUCCGCAGUUGAUGACGUAACCAGAUGUAGCUACACGGAGCUCCGUGAGCACCUGCACUUGUGGUGAUUUGAUUCUGUUAUUUAAGAAUUCAGCCCAUGCAAGGAAGCACGCUCAGCUCUACAAGGAAGAUGGAAGCCAGU